GAUGAACGCUGGCGGCGUGCCUAAUACAUGCAAGUCGAGCGAAUGGAUUAAGAGCUUGCUCUUAUGAAGUUAGCGGCGGACGGGUGAGUAACACGUGGGUAACCUGCCCAUAAGACUGGGAUAACUCCGGGAAACCGGGGCUAAUACCGGAUAACAUUUUGAACCGCAUGGUUCGAAAUUGAAAGGCGGCUUCGGCUGGAACUUAUGGAUGGACUCGCGUCGCAUUAGCUAGUUGGUGAGGUAACGGCUCACCAAGGCAACGAUGCGUAGCCGACCUGAGAGGGUGAUCGGCCACACUGGGACUGAGACACGGCCCAGACUCCUACGGGAGGCAGCAGUAGGGAAUCUUCCGCAAUGGACGAAAGUCUGACGGAGCAACGCCGCGUGAGUGAUGAAGGCUUUCGGGUCGUAAAACUCUGUUGUUAGGGAAGAACAAGUGCUAGUUGAAUAAGCUGGCACCUUGACGGUACCUAACCAGAAAGCCACGGCUAACUACGUGCCAGCAGCCGCGGUAA
rnacentral:rRNA from 1 species